rnacentral:lncRNA from 1 species
GAAAAAUACCCGACGCAUAUAUGCAGAUAAAAUUAAAAAGUAAAUAAUUGAUAUUUAUGAAUAUUUAUUACUUAUGGAAAAUGAAUAUUUAAAUAUUAAUUUAUUAAAAGAUAAAGUGUACUUAUCAUCUUACUCUUAUAUAUUUUAAAAAAAUUAAUAUUAAAAUUUAAUUUAUAUCUAAAAAUAUUUUUUUAACGGUAUUUUAUGAGAAAUGGA